rnacentral:rRNA from 1 species
UGGGGAAUCUUGCACAAUGGGGGCAACCCUGAUGCAGCGACGCCGCGUGAGCGAUGAAGCCCUUCGGGGCGUAAAGCUCUUUCGACCGGAACGAUAAUGACGGUACCAGAGGAGGAAGCCACGGCUAACUACGUGCCAGCAGCCGCGGUAAUACGUAGGUGGCAAGCGUUGUCCGGAUUUACUGGGCGUAAAGGAUGCGUAGGCGGAUACUUAAGUCAGAUGUGAAAAUCCCGGGCUUAACUUGGGAACUGCAUUUGAAACUGGGUAUCUAGAGUGCGGGAGAGGAAAGUGGAAUUCCUAGUGUAGCGGUGAAAUGCGUAGAGAUUAGGAAGAACACCAGUGGCGAAGGCGACUUUCUGGACCGUAACUGACGCUGAGGCAUGAAAGCGUGGGGAGCAAACA